rnacentral:rRNA from 1 species
CCUACGGGGGGCAGCAGUGGGGAAUAUUGCACAAUGGGGGAAACCCUGAUGCAGCGACGCCGCGUGAGUGAAGAAGUAUUUCGGUAUGUAAAGCUCUUUCAGCAGGGAAGAAAAUGACGGUACCUGAUUAAGAAGCCACGUCUAACUACGUGCAAGCAGCCGUGGUAAGACGGCGGGGGCCAGCGUUAUCCGGAUUUACUGGGUGUAAAGGGGGCGUAGACGGCAGCACAAGUCUGGAGUGAAAUGCCGGGGCUUAACCCCGGAACUGCUUUUGAAACUGUGCGGCUAGAGUGCAGGAGAGGUAAGUGGAAUGCCUGGUGUAGCGGUGAAAUGCGUAGAUAUUAGGAAGAACACCAGUGGCGAAGGCGGCUUACUGGACUGUAACUGACGUUGAGGCUCGAAAGCGUGGGGAGCAAACAGGAUUAGAUACCCGGGUAGUC